rnacentral:lncRNA from 1 species
AAACUCCAGGCCUCAGGGGGUAAACAUUGCCUCACCUCUCUGGAACCUAUUGCGCCACCAGUCUACUUGCAGUUGUCAGUUAUUGUCAGCUAAGUCCCCUCCUGUUCCCUGAUUUAAGAGGUUAUGACUACUCCACUCCACUACCACUGUCAACUUUCUCCUGACAUGAUCUGAAGCCACGUCUCAUGUGCCCGCUCGUCCACUGGCACAUUGAAUGUUUCCCCUCCAAGCACUGAGUAUCCCUAUCAAUUUUCUCUCAUUACUGUAUGUAGAGUCAAUCACAUACGCAAUCACAUUAUUAAACAUCAAUGAUUUUACUCCUUGCUUGGACUAACUCAUUCUUAGCUCUUUUGUCUAACUGUGUAGUGUGUUACUGUUUUGUCUUCCCAGUCAAACCCUGUCCUGCACUGGUAAAGCCUCUGAACACCUCAACUCAUACCCUCAAUCACUGCUGUGAUCUUUUCCAACUCUGUUUGAAACCAGUGAGGGUGAACACCCCUGAUUCCGUGUUGUGGCCAACCGGCAAGGUGCACAGGAGGCCAAAGCCUGUAAGUCAUAUCCGACCUGAAACAAUAACACAUACACAUUAGUUAUGCAUUCUGUAUGUACAAACUGCAGUUAUCAGAAUGAAAGCAAAUGCAGAAAUCCCUAUCUAACCACAUUGAAUGCUGUCUUGACAGUCUACUUCAGUGCAGACCCCUCAGAUCCACAAAAGGCCUGUAAGUCACAUUCAAAUUCAACCACAUAACAGUACUUAUAUUAUUUAUUGAUACACAAUUCAAGGCCAAAAUGAGCAAAGCAGUGUUGAAUUCAUUCUUUACUGUUUACAGCCAAUCAUUGUGAGCUGUGGGCAGG